UACGUAGGGUGCAAGCGUUGUCCGGAAUUAUUGGGCGUAAAGAGCUCGUAGGCGGUUUGUCGCGUCGAAUGUGAAAACCCGGGGCUCAACCCCGGGCCUGCAUUCGAUACGGGCAGACUAGAGUUCGGUAGGGGAGUCUGGAAUUCCUGGUGUAGCGGUGAAAUGCGCAGAUAUCAGGAGGAACACCGGUGGCGAAGGCGGGACUCUGGGCCGAUACUGACGCUGAGGAGCGAAAGCGUGGGGAGCAAACAGGAUAGAU
rnacentral:rRNA from 1 species